GUUGACUGUAGCUUAUUACACUAUUAAAGCAUGGCCCUGAAGCUGCCACGAUGGGGCAGCUGCCCCCAUCAACA
rnacentral:tRNA from 1 species